GAAUAAAGAUGGCAGACAAAGAAACAACGUUUAACACGCGGCGUGAUUUCACAACUUGAGUCGAAUUUUCGAGGGCUAACGUUUAAUGAGCAUGAAUUUGAAUGUUUUUGUUUCUAAAAUUAGACAUGACAAGAAUGUCUGACACAAUUCUAUUUCGAAAACAGGGAUUUCAUACAGGCGAGUUCACGCAUCCAAAACUUGAUCAACUACGGAGCAGGUUCUAAUAAUUUGACAAUAAUUGCAUUAAAACGGUGGCUACGUAAUUUUUGGAUGGCACUCUAGCGAUGAACUGUCAUUUUAAAAGGGUGGAAGUCAAUGUAAUCCAUCUGUAAAAGGUAUGGCUAUGUUUUCAUGCUUGUAUUAGUGUACGAACGCAGAGAAAAAUAUUUUGUCGACUUUGAAUUAGUUUUUCCUUCAAUCAGCAUUUUUCUCUCCGUGCAUGGUUAGCGACUGAACGGUGUGACGUCAUACCGUUUGUUUUGGUUUGGUUUGCCAUACGAUUUUGCAAGAAAUCUCAGUUUCUCGCUUAAAAUCGUUAAAAAUUUGGUUUAUUACUGAAAAAAUAGCAGUUAAAGAUAUUGUCGUAAUUGCCAUAAACUGCGACCAACACUGACGAACAGAGGACGGUCUCCUUGCAGAACUAAGAACGUGGACCUAACCGAUAGUGGCCGUACCAAGGACUUGAAGGAAAACCGGUGCCAGUGGCCGGAAGCAAUCCGUCGGAUGGGAUACUGCUGAAGCGAUCAGUAGCAGCAGCAGCGUCAACAUUAGUAAUAUACGGACAUUGGGUGGAAGUAACCCUCAAAUAGGGUUUGUUUUCCUUGUGAUGACAGAUAAAGAGUAGGUAGAACCCUUUUUGAGGGGUACUUCUGAUUUUGAGUGUAAUGUUGACGGCUUAUGCACGAAGUGAUUUGUUUACCUUUUUUUUAGGGAGCGUUCUUUUAUUACGUAACGCAGUUAGGGGGGGGAGGGGGUGUCGGUGUCUGUUACGAAAUGUUACGAAAAUUGGGGGAGGGGGGGUGUGCUGAAAAAUUCUGUUACGUAACGCAAAAUUUUCAUAUAAGCACUCAUAAAAAUUUGCAAAAAGACCUUGCGUUACGCGUUACAGGGGGAGUAGGGGGGAUGGCUCAUCUGUUACGAUUUGUUACAAAGGGGAGGGAGGGGGGUCAAAAAUCCCAAAUUUUGCGCUACGUAAUAAAAGAACGCUCCCUUAGUACCCUCCGCAAACGUCAAACCAUACAAAAAUUUUCAGGGUGACUACUCAAAUCCCAUUUUCAAAUUCCCAACUUUUUCCCGAGUUUUCCAGAACCUCAAAAAAAUAGUAUUUCGUAUCCGAAGUAUGGUUUCAAAUCAAAAACUCUUGAUAAAAAAUCUUUAUAAACCAUUUAACAAAGUUUCUAGAAAAAUCAUUGACAGUUUUAGUAAAUAAGACUUGAAUUUCAAUAAUAAAUUCCUAAAAACUUCACUUCAAAAAUGGUACCAUAAUUCAGGGUAAAAAAAAUCAGUCUUUGAAAAAUAACCAAAAGCUUAACAAUACCUAUUUCUUCAAUAUUUAUUUUUAAAAUUACCAAACAUAAGUAUUUUUGAAACUUCGUUUCAGCUGGCAAUGAAAAAGGUGAUGACAAAAAUUUAAAGACAAGAUAUUUUUACCAAGUAUCCUUUAAAAUUUUGUAAAUUUGAUAUUUAAUUAGUUGAAUCAAUGUCGAUCUAUCGAAGUGUCAGUAUUUCAAUGUUUAAACUUUUUUUUAACGAAAAAUCCAGUUUGAUUUUAAACGAAUGUUUCUAGACAAAAAUUCUUUAAACUUAUUUGGAAUAACUCAAACAAAUUCUUAUUAAUGUAAUCAAGCUAAUACAAAUUUAAAUUCAAUUUGCCCCGUCAUUUGAAAAAACAUGUAAAGUCUUUAACAUGUUAUUUAAAAUACAUUGUAUAACGUUCAUUAAUGAACUUCUUAUCGAAUAAAGACUUUUUAAACUUUUUACAAAUUUUGAAUUUUGAGAUCACAAAAACGGAAAAAGACGUUAAACUUCAGAAAAACAAUAUUAAAAAAACUAUUAAUUCAAAAAAUAACUUUGAUUACACUUUUACUACCCAUAUUUGCAAUUCCCAGAUUUUUAAAUAUUUUCAUAGCUUAUUUUUAUUUUAUUUACUUUUUUUCAUUCAGAACGAAAAACCUUUGGAUUUAUCCGAUAUUUAAGUUCAAGCUUUAUCUACAGUUGUGGUAACCAUAAUCACAUAAAAGUCUAAGGGAAUCAAGCAUUUGGAAACAAUAUUUGAAAUGACUGAAUGAAUUUAGUUUAAGAUUCAAAAAUAUUUACUACAAAUAAAUACUAUUGUCAAUCUGUAGUUGAAUUUGUUUUGUUUUUAAUAUGUACGCUGAUGUUAUCGUCGAAAUUGAACUCUUUUUCAUAUUGGCUUUGUUGUUGUUUAAAGUUAGAUGUUAACUUUUGUUUGAUAAACAUAGUCAAAAAUACAUAACAAUCUUUUGAUUUAUAAAAAAAUUAUAGAAAUUUGGGUAAAAUGCAUGCCACUUUAAUCAUUCAAUAUUUAUAAGGAUUUUUAAUGUCUUAGGUCUUAAAUAGCCUUUUCAUUCCCAUAUAGAUUGAAAUAGUGUAAGGAACCCGAAAUUUAAAGUUGAAGACGAAUUGAAUGAAAUUUAUAUUUCAAGAUUUCAAGAGUUAGAAAAUAUUUUUCAAAAAAAAUUGAUUGGAAUUCCAGACUUUUCCCGACUUUUUGACAAGAAAUCACAAAUUCCCGACUUUUUCCAGAUUUUUCAUGGAUUUUGGCAAAUUCCCGACAUUUCCCCGACUUUCCCGAUUUUCCGACUUGAGUGGCCACCCUGAAAGCCACCCGGCAGCAAUUUGUAUUGAUUUGACGUUUGCAGAGGGUGCUGAAAAGUUUGGUUAUAUUCUGCUUGCAAAAGCUUUGGAUAAAAUCAGUUCAAUGUCAAUCAACAUUUAGGUAACGUAACCCGCUAAUUGUCAAAUACACUAAAAAACGUUCAAAAAAUAUAGUUGUAUUAGUAAACGCAGCGUUAGCUGUCACACCAUCUGGGUUCUACUGUUUUGGGAUUUUCAAAACAUGCUCAUCAAACCGGAAAGAUCGGUGGAUCGUUUCGCUACAAAACCAAAAUGCACAUCAUUUCGAAAA